rfam:Trichobilharzia regenti genome assembly, scaffold: TRE_scaffold0009202
GUAUUGCUGAAGAGUCCCAAACUAGGAUGAAACAUAUGUCCAGUAC